rnacentral:rRNA from 1 species
AUUGAACGCUGGCGGCAUGCCUUACACAUGCAAGUCGAACGGUAACAGGGAGCUUGCUCCGCUGACGAGUGGCGAACGGGUGAGUAAUGUAUCGGAACGUACCUUUUAGUGGGGGAUAACGUAGCGAAAGUUACGCUAAUACCGCAUAUUCUCGGAGGAGGAAAGCAGGGGACCUUCGGGCCUUGCGCUAAUCGAGCGGCUGAUAUAAGAUUAGCUAGUUGGUGAGGUAAAGGCUCACCAAGGCGACGAUCUGUAGCGGGUCUGAGAGGAUGAUCCGCCACACUGGAACUGAGACACGGUCCAGACUCCUACGGGAGGCAGCAGUGGGGAAUUUUGGACAAUGGGGGCAACCCUGAUCCAGCCAUGCCGCGUGAGUGAAGAAGGCCUUCGGGUUGUAAAGCUCUUUCGGCCGGGAAAAAAUCGCAUGGGCUAAUACCCUGUGUGGAUGAUGGUACCGGAAUAAGAAGCACCGGCUAACUACGUGCCAGCAGCCGCCGUAACAC